GUGGGGAAUCUUCCACAAUGGACGAAAGUCUGAUGGAGCAACGCCGCGUGAGUGAAGAAGGGUUUCGGCUCGUAAAGCUCUGUUGUCGGGGACGAAUGUGCAGUAUUUGAAUAAAGUACUGCAAUGACGGUACCUGACGAGGAAGCCACGGCUAACUACGUGCCAGCAGCCGCGGUAAUACGUAGGUGGCAAGCGUUGUCCGGAAUUAUUGGGCGUACAGGGAGCGCAGGCGGGAAGGUAAGUCGGUCUUAAAAGUGCGGGGCUCAACCCCGUGAUGGGAUCGAAACUAUCUUUCUUGAGUGCAGGAGAGGAAAGUGGAAUUCCUAGUGUAGCGGUGAAAUGCGUAGAUAUUAGGAGGAACACCAGUGGCGAAGGCGACUUUCUGGACUGUAACUGACGCUGAGGCUCGAAAGCCAGGGGAGCGAACGGGAUUAGAAACCCGGGUAGUCC
rnacentral:rRNA from 1 species